GAUGAACGCUGGCGGCGUGCCUAAUACAUGCAAGUCGAGCGAACAGACGAGGAGCUUGCUCCUCUGACGUUAGCGGCGGACGGGUGAGUAACACGUGGAUAACCUACCUAUAAGACUGGGAUAACUUCGGGAAACCGGAGCUAAUACCGGAUAAUAUAUUGAACCGCAUGGUUCAAUAGUGAAAGACGGUUUUGCUGUCACUUAUAGAUGGAUCCGCGCCGCAUUAGCUAGUUGGUAAGGUAACGGCUUACCAAGGCAACGAUGCGUAGCCGACCUGAGAGGGUGAUCGGCCACCCUGGAACUGAGACACGGCCCAGACUCCUACGGGAGGCAGCAGUAGGGAAUCUUACGCAAUGGGCGAAAGCCUGACGGAGCACCGCCGCGUGAGUGAUGAAGGUCUUCGGAUCGUAAAGCUCUGUUAUUAGGGAAGAACAAAUGUGUAAGUAACUAUGCACGUCUUGACGGUACCUAAUCAGAAAGCCACGGCUAACUACGUG
rnacentral:rRNA from 1 species